UAGCUCAGUGGUAGAGCUCCAGCUUCUUAUGCGGGAAGAUCUGGGUUCGAUUCUCGG
rnacentral:tRNA from 1 species